rnacentral:rRNA from 1 species
UACGUAGGUGGCAAGCGUUGUUCGGAAUCACUGGGCUUAAAGGGCGCGUAGGCGGGUGCUCAAGUCCGGGGUGAAAUCCUCCGGCUCAACCGGAGAACUGCCUCGGAUACUGGGUGCCUCGAGGGUGGUAGGGGUAUGCGGAACUAUCGGUGGAGCGGUGAAAUGCGUUGAUAUCGAUAGGAACUCCGGUGGCGAAGGCGGCAUACUGGACCACCUCUGACGCUGAGGCGCGAAAGCCAGGGGAGCAAACGGG